CCGCCGCGGUAAUACAGAGGGUGCGAGCGUUAAUCGGAUUUACUGGGCGUAAAGCGUGCGUAGGCGGCUUCUUAAGUCGGAUGUGAAAUCCCUGAGCUUAACUUAGGAAUUGCAUUCGAUACUGGGAAGCUAGAGUAUGGGAGAGGAUGGUAGAAUUCCAGGUGUAGCGGUGAAAUGCGUAGAGAUCUGGAGGAAUACCGAUGGCGAAGGCAGCCAUCUGGCCUAAUACUGACGCUGAGGUACGAAAGCAUGGGGAGCAAACAGGAUUAGAUACCCGCGUAGUCCCUGUCUCUUAUACACA
rnacentral:rRNA from 1 species